AUUGAACGCUGGCGGCAGGCCUAACACAUGCAAGUCGAGCGAGCGGCGGACGGGUGAGUAAUGUAUGUGUACUGCCCGAUAGAGGGGGAUAACUACUGGAAACGCUAGCUAAUACCCCAUACUACCGGCUUACCCAUAUGGGAUUAGCUAGUGGGUGAGGUAAUGGCUCACCUAGGCGACGAUCCCUAGCUGGUCUGAGAGGAUGAUCAGCCACACUGGAACUGAGACACGGACCAGACUCCUACGGAGGCAGCAGUGGGGAAUAUUGGACAAUGGGCGCAAGCCUGAUGCAGCCAUGCCGCGUGUAUGAAGAAGGCCCUAGGGUUGUAAAGUACUUUCAGUCGGGAGGCGUUACCGACAGAAGAAGCACCGGCUAACUCCGUGCCAGCAGCCGCGGUAAUAC
rnacentral:rRNA from 1 species